GUCUCGAUAGCUAAGUGGUAUAGCAUGCGAUUGCAGUCAUACAUGAUCAUGUUUCAUGGCUUCAUCGCAGGGUCCGGUGUUCGAACCACCGUCGGGACU